GCAUGGUAACAUUAGAGAUGCAAAAUCUUGGAUCAGAUGGUGGAUGUUAUGCUUCUCAAUGCACAGAGAUAUUGCGGUGCAAAUACUUAGAGGAGAUGGUGGACGGAGUGAUGCUGCCCACUCCACAGGAACACUACUGAUACGAGAACUUAAAACAAAUGGUGGACAACAUGAUGCGGUCCAGUGCAUAUCAAGUCUACAUGUGCAAAAGCUUAGAGAAAAUCAAAUCAAGCUUUAUGGGUCCUCGUCCUUCCUAGAAUCUAUUGUAGAUGACACAAGAGGUGAUUUUACUCACUACACAAUAGACUGCAAUGGCAUAAAGCUCAGUGCAC
rnacentral:misc_RNA from 1 species